UGAGGCUGGGGAGGCGCGGUCGCCUCCAGGACCCAGGGCCUCCAUGGCUCCGACGAGGGCCGAGGCUGGCCUGGAAGAGCAGACGUGGUGCGGAUCCUUGGCGCCAGCAUUUGUCACCCCCUUAGUCGGGGCUAGCAAGGGCAGUAGGACCAAGGGAGCCACUAUGGAGGAUGAGGACACCGAGGUUCUGAGGGAGAAAUGAUUUGCCCAGAGGCACACAGCUGAUGCCUGAAGCCUCCAACAAAGCCCAGACUCCACUGUGGUAAAUGGUGACCCCCCCUCCCCGCCGCUUCAAAAUACUGGCAGAUUCCUGGAUAAUAUGUCCCCUGCUUGGGAGCCUCUGCCUUUUGUCUAGGAAUGACAGGCUCACCGGUCUCUUUGUCCUGCCACUCUUGCUCCUACAGGGCUCAGCUUAGAGGUCUCCUGACCUUUCGGGUUCCCAGCGGUUCCUGAGCCUUCCCCCAUCACAGCAGUCAACCCUACAUUGAUUGGCGGCCGUGUACUAGUGAUUCAGUCUCCCCAUGUCCACCCCUGAGCUUCCUGAGGACAGGCCCUGCGCUUACACAUCUCUGUACCGUCAGUGCCUGGCAGGUAAUGAUGAUAAAUAUUUGUUGAAUGACAAGGAAUGGAGCAGCCUUACAAGGAGUAGAUGGGGGGUAGGAAGGAAGAGGGCACCUUUGCUUCUAGCCACUCUUCUCUCCCUACUUGUCUUUUCUGAGGAAGGGGACAGAAUGAGUGAGGCAGUUGCCACCAUGCACACUGAUCAUGUGACUCCAGUUGUUGGGAACCAAAGGAGCGGGCAAGCCCAGCUUGGAGCAGGAACAGCCAGAAAUCAAUACUUCCCCAGUGCCAGGAGGAGGAGUGAGGGGAGGGACUGGGUGGGUGUGCCUGGAUAAGGGUGAAAGCAGCUUUGAGUCUUGGAACCAGGAGCUCCCUAUGGGCUAUGGGGACUGGAGGGGGUAGGGGCUUGCCUUCCCUGAGCUGCUUGAUGGGGAGUACAGAGGAAGGUGGCCCAGAGCUGGGGUGGAAACUGAAAAACAGGCUUAUCUGAGUCUCCUAGAUACUUCUGAAGCCCAGGAUCACCAACAUCCCAGAUGCUGCAGAUUGCUGGUUAGGGAAGGUAGGGAGGUCAGUGGUGGGAGGAUAUGGUGUUUCCUAGAAGGGAGAGGCAGUACCUGCAACAUUCCCCGGGGGUGGGGGGUCUUAGCUGACCUGGUACCAGAACCCACCUGGUGGCAUCUUUGUGCCCACUAAGGCCAGCCUUGCAGGUUGGUCCUCACACUCAAGCUUGGGACCACUUUUGCAGAGCAGUUUCUAUGACUUCAGAAAGACAAGAAGCCACCCUGAGGAGCAGCCCCUGGGAGGACUGUCACCUACUCUAGGGCUGUACCAGUGGCAUAGGAGCUAUGGCUACUGGCCUACACC